rnacentral:rRNA from 1 species
GACGAACGCUGGCGGCGUGCUUAACACAUGCAAGUCGAACGGAAAGGCCCUGCUUUUGUGGGGUGCUCGAGUGGCGAACGGGUGAGUAACACGUGAGUAACCUGCCCUUGACUUUGGGAUAACUUCAGGAAACUGGGGCUAAUACCGGAUAGGAGCUCCUGCUGCAUGGUGGGGGUUGGAAAGUUUCGGCGGUUGGGGAUGGACUCGCGGCUUAUCAGCUUGUUGGUGGGGUAGUGGCUUACCAAGGCUUUGACGGGUAGCCGGCCUGAGAGGGUGACCGGCGACAUUGGGACUGGGGUACGGCCCAGACUCCUACGGGAGGCAGCAGUGGGGAAUAUUGCACGAUGGGCGGAAGCCUGAUGCAGCAACGCCGCGUGCGGGAUGACGGCCUUCGGGUUGUAAACCGCUUUCGCCUGUGACGAAGCGUGAGUGACGGUAAUGGGUAAAGAAGCACCGGCUAACUACGUG